rnacentral:tRNA from 1 species
GGGACAGUGGCGCAAUUGGUUAGCGCACCUGCCUUCCAAGCAGGGGGUUGCGGGUUCGAUUCCCGUCUGUCCCUCCA